rnacentral:rRNA from 1 species
UACAGAGGUGGCAAGCGUUGUUCGGAAUUACUGGGCGUAAAGGGCUCGUAGGUUGCCAACUAAGUCAGACGUGAAAUCCCUCGGCUUAACCGGGGAACUGCGUCUGAUACUGGAUGGCUUGAGUUCGGGAGAGGGAUGCGGAAUUCCAGGUGUAGCGGUGAAAUGCGUAGAUAUCUGGAGGAACACCGGUGGCGAAGGCGGCAUCCUGGACCGACACUGACACUGAGGAGCGAAAGCCAGGGGAGCAAACGGG